rfam:Ictidomys tridecemlineatus contig015514, whole genome shotgun sequence.
GGGGUUGUGUCUCAGUGGUAGAGUGCUCACCUACCAGGUGCGAGGCACUGGGUUCAAUCCUCAGCACCACCU